AAUGGGCGCAAGCCUGAUCCAGCCAUGCCGCGUGUGUGAAGAAGGCCUUCGGGUUGUAAAGCACUUUNGGUGGGGAGGAAGGGCAGUANGUUAAUACCUNGNUGNNUUGACGUUACCCACAGAAUAAGCACCGGCUAACUUCGUGCCAGCAGCCGCGGUAAUACGAAGGGUGCAAGCGUUAAUCGGAAUUACUGGGCGUAAAGCGCGCGUAGGNGGUUCGUUAAGUCGGAUGUGAAAUCCCCGGGCUCAACCUGGGAACUGCAUUNGAAACUGGCANGACUAGAGUNNGGUAGAGGGGGGUGGAAUUCCCGGUGUAGCGGUGAAAUGCGUAGAUAU
rnacentral:rRNA from 1 species